UACAGAGGGUGCGAGCGUUAAUCGGAAUUACUGGGCGUAAAGCGUGCGUAGACGGUUAUUUAAGUCGGGUGUGAAAGCCCCGGGCUCAACCUGGGAAUUGCAUUCGAGACUGAAUAGCUAGGGUACGGUAGAGGGAAGUGGAAUUUCCGGUGUAGCGGUGAAAUGCGUAGAUAUCGGAAGGAACACCAGUGGCGAAGGCGACUUCCUGGUCCGAAACUGACACUGAGGCGCGAAAGCGUGGGGAGCGAACAGG
rnacentral:rRNA from 1 species